rnacentral:rRNA from 1 species
AUGGACAUCGCGCAGCCUGCAGGGGUGGAUGCGGUGAAGCUUGUGGUGAUGAUCGUCCAGGCAGCUCAGACAGUUCGCCACAACAAGAAGACCUACCAACAGCUCGUCAACCGCGCGCAGAUGAUCGGUGACCUGCUGGGGAAGCUGCAGGGCUCAGAGAAGCUGCAGCAGCCAGAGAUACGGAGCCCGCUGAAGGUGCUCGAGGGGAUCCUAGGCGAGGCAUACACACUCGUCAAAUCCUGCCAAAACAGCAGCUAUGUAUACCAGCUAUUGAUGGGCCGGAAGCAGGCUGAUCAGUUCCAUGUUGUGCAAAAUAAAAUAGACUCGUAUCUGCUGCUCUUCCCACUCAUCAGCCACAUCGAAACUGCAGCUCAACUGGACCAAAUUCUGAAUGCCGUACGGCCACAGGCCAGGUUUAGAUGCCGAAGUGGUGCCGGGUUACUUAGUGGCUGUUCAAACUACGGUGCUACUAGGUGCUCGUCUCGUGAUGCCAGGAUUGAAGUUUGUGGUAUAUCUGAAAGAGUUCACGCAGUAAAUGAGCCAUUUGCUGUAAAGGAAAGCCAUCAAGCAGGCUCUUCAAAUGUUGUCGAAUCAUUAUCAGCCAAACAAAGCAGAAUGAGGCGCCGUUGCUGUGGACAGCAUAAGGAGUCACCCACAAUUCAUAGGCUUACUGGUCACGAAGGGUCCUUCAAGUUCACUUUCUUCCAGUUGGUGGGUGCUACCAAAAAUUUCUGCCCUGCAAACCAGAUUGGAAAAGGUACCUUUGGCUGUGUUUACAAGGGUCGAUUACAUGAUGGACUUGAAGCUGCAAUCAAAAGACGUUCUGAAGUUCCUCGGUCACUUAGUCAACUGGAUUUCCAAAAUUUGGAGUUUAGCAAUGAGGUUUGCUUUCUUACAGAACUUCAGCAUACCAAUAUUGCCAAACUUCUAGGAUGCUGCAUCCAUGGAACAGAGAGACUUUUGGUCUAUGAAUAUAUGGCCAAUGGAAGCUUCGAUACCUUCAUCUUUGGUGCAAGGACAAAAAGGGCCUAUCUUGACUGGCCCACGCGCUCCAAAAUAAUGAAAGGGGUGGCAGAAGGACUUUUGUAUCUUCAUAAGCAGUGUGGGCUAUACAUUAUACAUGGAGAUCUAAAGCCAAGUAACAUUCUCUUGGACUCUGACAUGAAUCCCAAGAUCUCUGAUUUUGGCAUGGCUAGAAUGUAUAGGCCCGUUGUGGAUGAAGAGUUUACUGACCAUAUUGUGGGCUCAACGUAA